GAAGAUUGGGAAAUGUGUUUCUCAUGGAGACCACGUUGAGACAUUCUCUACAUCCAGAGAGCAACAGCAGGAAGAUCACAGAGCUAAGAGGUCUCACCACUGCCCACAUUCUUUCAGCAAAAAACAAGAAACUGCGGUUGCAAUGGGCUAAGGAAUGAAAACACUGGACACUAGACAAUUGGAAAAGUAUUGCCUGGUCUGAUGAAUCCCUGUUCCUGCUGUUUCAUGCUGAUGGGAGGACUGGGGUAUGGAGGAAACCACGAGGACAUACAUCCAGUGGUGGAAAAUGUACCUUA